GAUGAACGCUAGCGGCAGGCUUAAUACAUGCAAGUCGAGGGGGCAGCAAUGUCACCGGCGAACGGGUGCGUAACGCGUAUGCAACCUACCUACAUCAGGGGGAUAGCCCUAGGAAACUGGGAUUAACACCGCAUAACAUAUGACAAGGCAUCUUGUUAUAUUGAAAUAUUUAUAGGAUGUAGAUGGGCAUGCGUAGGAUUAGCUAGUUGGUAAGGUAACGGCUUACCAAGGCUACGAUCCUUAGGGGCUCUGAGAGGAGUAUCCCCCACACUGGCACUGAGAUACGGGCCAGACUCCUACGGGAGGCAGCAGUAGGGAAUAUUGGGCAAUGGAGGCAACUCUGACCCAGCCAUGCCGCGUGCAGGAAGACGGUCCUCUGGAUUGUAAACUGCUUUUGAAUGGGAAGAAUGUGUGGCUUGCGAGCUAUAAUGACGGUACCAUUAGAAUAAGCCACGGCUAACUACGUGCCAGCAGCCGCGGUAA
rnacentral:rRNA from 1 species